GGCCUGAUGGUCUAGGGUAUGAUUCUCGCUUAGGGUGCGAGAGGUCCCGGGUUCAAACCCCGGUCAGGCCC
rnacentral:tRNA from 1 species